UACGUAGGGUGCGAGCGUUGUCCGGAAUUAUUGGGCGUAAAGAGCUCGUAGGCGGUGUGUCACGUCGGCCGUGAAAACCUGCAGCUUAACUGUGGGCGUGCGGUCGAUACGGGCAUCACUGGAGUUCGGCAGGGGAGACUGGAAUUCCUGGUGUAGCGGUGAAAUGCGCAGAUAUCAGGAGGAACACCGGUGGCGAAGGCGGGUCACUGGACAGCAACUGACGCUGAUGCGCGAAAGCUAGGGGAGCAAACAGG
rnacentral:rRNA from 1 species